rnacentral:tRNA from 1 species
CAGCGGAAAGCCAAAUUAGCGGCAUUUAGCUGUUAAUUAAAAAAUUGUAAUCUAUUACUUCGCUGG